rnacentral:ncRNA from 2 species
AAGGGUUUUUGCUGCUGACGUAUAAAAUGGAGUACCAUGAUGUGGCAAGAGCUGAUAGAGAAGCCGGACGUCUGGGCGACAUUU